rnacentral:ncRNA from 1 species
AGAAUGUGGAGUCCAGAUACCACCUAAAAAACGGGGCGUAACCGAAAAGCCAUACGAGUAGGAAAACU